CCGCUUGCAGGUAAACAGAUGGACCCACGAAGUCCUGUUGAGUGAGAGAUUCAUAUCUUCCAAGAGACGAAGUGUGCAGUAAGGUCCUUCAUAGGAGUGCGCUGUACACUUGAUGUUAAUUGGGAGAUGCAUUUCUCUUGCUCACGUUGGAGCUCUGACUACUCUAACAGACUUUAACUGCUUAGGGCCGCCUUUGAGUGUGGUAGAUUCCUUCGGUUUCAACUCACACUCGAAGGUGAAGUAAGUGAAGUCAUAUUGAGUAGUUGAAUUACUUACUGUAAAGUGAGUUUUCAGGUUGUCGAUAUUCACUUGUAUCGGUCAAAGAUGAAGGCAGUGAAGUGCUUUCGACUCUCGUAGUUGAAGUCUUUCUGUCUAUUUUGUCUUUAAGCACUGGUCGCAAGUAGUGUCAAUGAUAAUCCAGAGUAAGUAGGUCGGUCAUCCAUCUGACCCGUCUUGAAACACGGACCAAGGAGUCCAACAUUUGCGCGAGUCGCUCGGUCUUGAAUAGGCCUGAGAGGCGAAAUAAACAUAAUGGUAUGAUCCUUUGACGCCUUUCGAGGCUAUAAGGCGCAAUACCAACCUGCUUAUCUUGCCUUUUGACAGGGAAGCGGAGUUUGAGCGUAAAUGUUGGUACCCGAAAGAUGGUGAACUAUACUUGGGCAAGACGAAGCCAGAGGAAACUCUGGUGGAGGUCUGUAGCGAUUCUGACGUGCAAAUCGAUCGUCAGACCUGAGUAUAGGGGCGAAAGACUAAUCGAACCAUCUAGUAGCUGGUUCCUUCCGAAGUUUCCCUCAGGAUAGCUGGCACUAACACACUCUGUAGCAUCCGGUAAAGCGAAUGAUUAGAGGUAUUGGGAUCGAAACGAUCUCAACCUAUUCUCAAACUUUAAAUGGGUGCGAGGCUUGACUUUUUUGCUCUAAAGUCUUGCUUCGUAAGAGUAGUGCCAAGUGGGCCAUUUUUGGUAAGCAGAACUGGCGCUGUGGGAUGAACCAAACGCUGAGUUAAGGCACCAAAUGCUGACGCUCAUGAGACCCCAUGAAAGGUGUUGGUUGCUAUAGACAGC
rnacentral:rRNA from 1 species